CCUACGGGUGGCUGCAGUGGGGGAUAUUGGACAAUGGGGGGGAACCCUGAUCCAGCGACGCUGCGUGAGUGAAGAAGUAUUUCGGUAUGUAAAGCUCUGUCAGCAGGGAAGACAGCAAUGACGGUAUCUGACCAAGAAGCCCCGGUGAACUACGUGCCAGCAGCCGCGGUAAUACGUAGGGGGCAAGCGUUAUCCGGAAUUACGGGGUGUAAAGGGUGCGUAGACGGCUGUGCAAGACUGGAGUGAAAGGCGGGGGCCCAACCCCCGGACUGCUCUGGAAACUGGAGGGCGGGAGUGCAGGAGAGGUAAGCGGAAUUCCUAGUGUAGCGGUGAAAUGCGUAGAUAUUAGGAGGAACACCAGUGGCGAAGGCGGCGUACUGGACGGUAACUGACGUUGAGGCUCGAAAGCGUGGGGAGCAAACAGGAUUAGAUACCCCUGUAGUC
rnacentral:rRNA from 1 species